AUGCCCCUAGACUUCACCAAGCACUUCCUCGUCGUGACAACGGUGCUCAAGCUGAAGACGAACACAUGUUGCUCAUGGAGGGUCACUGUGAGGCUGAUGAACGACAUGGUCACCCUCGAUGAGGGUUGGGCCACCUUCGUCGUCGUCUAUCAGAUCAAGAUCGGUUACAUGGUGACCUUCAAGUUGCUGACUCCCGACACGCUCAAGGUCGUCAUCUUCGACGACGACGAUAUUGAAGUGGUGACCAAGUGUGGGAGACACGACGACGCCUUCGCCAUGAACGGCUAA
rnacentral:rRNA from 1 species